rnacentral:rRNA from 1 species
UAAUAGGGACGGUCGGGGGCAUCAGUAUUCAGUUGUCAGAAUUGGUGAAAUUCUUGGAUUUACUGAAGACUAACUACUGCGAAAGCAUUUGUCAAGGACGUUUUCAUUAAUCAAUUAGAACGAAAGUUAGGGGAUCGAAGAUGAUCAGAUACCGUCGUAGUCUUAACCAUAAACUAUGCCGACUAGGGAUCGGGCGGUGCCUUUUAUUGGCCCACUCGGCACCUUACGAGAAAUCAAAGUUUUUGGGUUCUGGGGGGAGUAUGGUCGCAAGGCUGAAACUUAAAGG